rnacentral:rRNA from 1 species
UACGGGGGGGGCAAGCGUUGUUCGGAAUUCUGCGGCAGGAGUCGUAGGCGGCCAACUAAGUCAGACGUGAAAUCCCUCGGCUUAACCGGGGAACUGCGUCUGAUACUGGAUGGCUCGAGUUUGGGAGAGGGAUGCGGAAUUCCAGGUGUAGCGGUGAAAUGCGUAGAUAUCUGGAGGAACACCGGUGGCGAAGGCGGCAUCCUGGACCAACACUGACGCUGAGGAGCGAAAGCCAGGGGAGCAAAGCGGG